GACGAACGCUGGCGGCGUGCUUAAUACAUGCAAGUCAACGACUUUUAGAGUAGCAAUAUUUUAAAGGAAGUGGCGCACGGUGAGUAACACGUAGGUAAUCUGCCUUCAGGACUGACACAACUCGUCGAAAGACGGGCUAAUAUCAGAUAAUGCAGCGGCUCCGCAUGGAGACAGUUGUUAAAGUACAAGCGCCUGAAGAUGAGCCUGCGGUCCAUUAGCUAGUUGGUAGAGUAACAGCCUACCAAGGCAACGAUGGAUAGCUGGUCUGAGAGGAUGAUCAGCCACACUGGAACUGAGACACGGUCCAGACUCCUACGGGAGGCAGCAGUAAGGAAUAUUGCUCAAUGGCCGAAAGGCUGAAGCAGCAACGCCGCGUGAAGGAUGAAUGGCCUUUGGCCUGUAACUUCUGUAAAAGGGAAAACAGUACAGGUAUAUCCUG
rnacentral:rRNA from 1 species